UACGUAGGUGGCAAGCGUUGUCCGGAGUUAUUGGGCGUAAAGCGCGCGCAGGCGGUGCGGUAAGUCUCUGGUGAAAGCGCUCGGCUUAACUGGGCGAGGGCCGGGGAGACUGCCACGCUGGAGGGGAGCAGAGGCGAGUGGAAUUCCGGGUGUAGUGGUGAAAUGCGUGGAGAUCCGGAGGAACACCAGUGGCGAAGGCGGCUCGCUGGGCUCUACCUGACGCUGUGGCGCGAAAGCUAGGGGAGCAAACGGG
rnacentral:rRNA from 1 species